UUAUUUAUUUAUUGGUCUUUUUUCUUCUCCUUCUCCUGAAUGACUGAAACAAUGGCUGCUGCUGCUUCCUUCACGUCUCUAACCAUCUCAAGUCUUCAUGCACUGCCCAGAUCAGCAUUCCUAGGUAAGAAUAAGAUCUUAAUAACCCAAAACCUAAAUCUUCUUCGUCUCUCAUCAAAUACCCGGUCACUCGCUGCUACGGCCAAAUUCAAUCUCUUCGAGGUUCUCGGCGGGAGAGGGCUCUGCAACGGCGAACAAGGUCUCCUAAAGGAACUCGAAACUCCCAAAUCAUCCCUGAGUAAAACAUCAGAAGAAAACUCACCUGAUGAUCCUACGACGCUUACUCCUCCUACUCCUGGUACUACUUCUUCGCUGUACCUUGGCGAAGGUUCGUUCGAGAAAGAACUCCUCGGACUCACCGGAGGUUUCCCCGGAGGAGAAAAGGGUCUUGUAAACUUCAUCGAGA
rnacentral:lncRNA from 1 species